CACUGCACUAGUGCCCCGCCCGCCCACCAAACACACCACUGCAGGUAAGACACUGCACUAGUGCCCCGCCCGCCCACCAAACACACCACUGCAGGUAAGACACUGCACUAGUGCCCCGCCCGCCCACCAAACACACCACUGCAGGUAAGACACUGCACUAGUGCCCCGCCCGCCCACCAAACACACCACUGCAGGUAAGACACUGCACUAGUGCCCCGCCCGCCCACCAAACACACCACUGCAGGUAAGACACUGCACUAGUGCCCCGCCCGCCCACCAAACACACCACUGCAGGUAAGACACUGCACUAGUGCCCCGCCCGCCCACCAAACACACCACUGCAGGUAAGACACUGCACUAGUGCCCCGCCCGCCCACCAAACACACCACUGCAGGUAAGACACUGCACUAGUGCCCCGCCCGCCCACCAAACACACCACUGCAGGUAAGACACUGCACUAGUGCCCCGCCCGCCCACCAAACACACCACUGCAGGUAAGACACCGCACUAGUGCCCCGCCCUGCCCGCCCACCAAACACACCACUGCAGGUAAGACACCGCACUAGUGCCCCGCCCUGCCCGCCCACCAAACACACCACUGCAGGCAAGACACCGCACUAGUGCCCCGCCCUGCCCGCCCACCAAACACACCACUGCAGGCAAGACACCGCACUAGUGCCCCGCCCUGCCCGCCCACCAAACACACCACUGCAGGUAAGACACUGCACUAGUGCCCCGCCCUGCCCGCCCACCAAACACACCACUGCAGGUAAGACACCGCACUAGUGCCCCGCCCGCCCACCAAACACACCACUGCAGGUUAGACACCGCACUAGUGCCCCGCCCACCAAACACACCACUGCACGGUACUGGUUGAGGGGUCAUAGCAGCUGGGCCCCUCCCCAUACUGCAGAAGCUGCCUGGCUUCACGUGUCACGUGGAGAUGUGCGGCUGAGCUCCUCAGCGUGCCCCCCAGUGACAGCUGUGUGUUUCCUUCUUGUGUAUUUUCAUUCAUAUACUGCCGGUCUGCAUUAUAGAUCCUCAGUGAUGUCAGUGGAUCUGGCAGCUUGCCACCACUCUCCCGUGUGGAUGGGUAUGACUCAGCAGCUGGCUGUGGUUUGGGGGGGGGGGGGGAUGUCUGCCCUCACUGCAGCAUAAUGUGUGACGGAGCUGCCCCGUGUCGGCUGCAUUGAGUUCUGUCCUCAGUGCAUUUCCAGCUCUGGAUCACUGUAGUGUGCUACAUGAAAGAAUUAGCAAGGGCCGGAACGUCCCUUAAAUCCCUCCAUUUCGUGGAUGGAUGAAUGGUAUGGUUAUGUAUAAUAUUGCUGAGACAUAUUGCCACCUCACUUGGACGUUUUGUUGUCCUUCUCCAUACUCAGUCCCAUCAGGAACAAAGCCAGCGCAGAUCAUCUCCUAACUAGCUGCUUCUCUCCAGUAAGGGACAUUUGUCCAGUGAGACCUGAACUUGUUCACAGUGUGAUGUGAGGCGUGCCCACCCCUUCCUCAUGCCCGUCUCUCCCCCCGCCUCUACA